GUGAACUGAAACAUCUCAGUAGCUCGAGGAAAAGACAUCAACCGAGAUUCCGAAAGUAGUGGCGAGCGAAAUCGGAAGAGCCUGUCAGUGAUAGCACGAUUGUUAGCAAAAUGAUCUGGAAAGGUCGGCCAUAGCAGGUGAUAGCCCUGUAUGCGAAAAGAGGAGUGUGGUACUAAGUUGCGAACAAGUAGGGCGGGACACGUG
rnacentral:rRNA from 1 species